UUCCUAACAUGAUUUUUUCCCCCCAAGUAUCACCAUUCAUUAAACAAAGCUUGCCUGUGCAAUUAUCAAAUAUGUAAGACUUGUGAUAUCAAGUAGAUCCCUCUAUGGGUGUAUUUCAAAUUGCUGUUGUUUAAUUAUUAACUGACUCCAUCGUGUUUUCUUUCGAUGUGUUCUUCAUUUCAGAAACACAUCCUGCAGUAUUAAAUGGGAAGAUGAGCUCAGUCAAGAGUCUGAGGAAUAAUGCGAAGAUCAGUCAAUACACCUUUUCUGCAAGGUCAGGUGAGCUUCAGCAUGACAAAGAGUUCCCAGAGUGGAUUGCACAGCACCAGAUGAAAAUAUGCAAAGAACUUUGGCAUCUCUGGUACACUGGAUACACAGAACGAGAAGAAGCCAUUGCAAAGAAGGUAGCCCAUUGCCUGGAAAGGUUUGUUAGCACAUUUCAAGUCGGUGUGAAACUGUGAUUCACCUUCAUUAGCUUGUGCCCAGAGGGGGACUCAGCACUGCUGAACCACAGUGGUUAUCCAUUUAGGGAUAUGUGUCUGCAUUGCACAAAGGUGUGACUUGCUAGACUAGAAACCACAGGCUAUGACAGGCCAAACUCUCAGGUUAUAUCUCAUUCUAAUCAAAAGUAUGAUGGAAGUGCAUGCCGACAUAACCAACUGAGCUUUCAACACUUUCAUUUGCCUUCAGAAAAAGAUCCAGCACAAAUUUUGUGAGAUUUGGACAGACCUUCCCUCCAAAGUCUCAAGAGCAAGACUUUUCCUGCAAAAUUUACAAUGGAAGGUGCAAUGCCUCUUUCCUGGAAAAUCUCCAGCCAAAAUGUGCAGACUCUAAAGAUCACAGAUAGGCUCAUGGAUGCAAAUAUGAACCUCUCAAAAAUGUGAUACUGCUCCUAAUAAGUUCAGACUCACCUCUAAUUCAGAUGAAAGCUUCACCUUAGGGUGUUUGUCCAAAUUACAUUGCAGUGACAGUUAUUCAGUGUCAUAAGAGUUUUGCAUUUACCUUUUAUAUUAAAAAAGGAGCAAAUAUCUCUUUUGCAUAUACCUUUUAUGUUGGAAAGGAUCUUCAAGAUAACAUUGCUAACUAUUGCAGCACCAGUUCAAAGCCCAGCUGACAGCCUACUACAAACACAGAAAAGCUGUAGCCUUUUGAAAAUAAAUGACAAUGUAAACAGACAAGACAAACACAGUUGUGGGAGUAGAGCAUUAGCAAAGAUGUGACCUGCAGGGCCAUAUUGGACAGGAAAAGAGAGGAUGAGACUCUAGGAACAAAGUCCAUUGAAGUCAAAGUGUUUUCACACAGUGUUCCAUGACAUCAGGAUUUUAGCCCAGAUGGAUCUAGAAAAAACGGAGUGUCCAAUGUUUACUCCACUCUUUCAAGGCUGAGGAGCAUAAUGGCUUUAGAAUUUCUGUGUUCUUCAUUUGUUCUGAUUAGGCAAACCAGAAGCUAUGUAAAGUAAAAGAGACAGCAAGCCAGUUAGUGUACACCAGUGGAUGCAUGCCAAUGUAUUUAUGUUGAUUUCUACUUUGUUGCCCAAAAUUGUAUGUCCCAAGAUUCUCAGUCAGCAAGUCCAUAAUGCCAGUGAAUCAGGUGUUAUGAACUUUGAGGUUUCAGUAUUACCAGCUAAAAAUGAUAACUCCUUCAACUCCAAGAGCAUUUAAGGACCUUUUACCUUGCUACUUAUAUUUGAAGUUUUAGGAUUGAUUUAAGCUAUAUUGUCAAGCUCUUCUCCAUAAAAAACCCCAAGCCAACAACCUGAACCAUAUUUAGAAAUGUGAGAUUCUUACCUCCUGCGGAAUUUCAGUAUCCUGGCCUUGAAGAGAAAAUUGAAAUGUCACAAAGUGGAGAAAUGGCAGCUGCCCUGAUGAGGCAGGGGAGUUCAGUAAAGCAGUAACAGCAGUGGAAGAUUCUACAUUGAGUAGAAAUAGAGCAGGAAGAUCACAGGUUUGGUUUUGGCACCAGGAGCGGUUUAGGAGUUCUCUGAUGUCCUAAGGCUGAAUCAGCUGCCCAUGUGAGCAACCAAGUCCUUCUUCCCGAACACCUUCCUUAAUCCUCUUCCUUUGCUGAAACAUUUGAUUUGGUGCAAGUUUGUCAAGAAAACUGAAGAAACUUCACAUACAAUUUAGAGAUUUUUGCUUUUCCUGUUUUUUUUGCUGGGAAACAAGGCUUAUGCUAACUUUUUGAAAGCAUUUUGAUGACAAUUCUAUGAUUCUAUGAUUUUGUCCAGCUUCACCCAAAUCUGAUACUAGGGUAGAGUUCUUAAUGGAAAUUACUUUUUACAAGAGGCCCGUACAAAACAUAUAUUGAGGUUGCAUGUAGCCUAGAAAACCACUUUUUCAGUCCACCACAUUCAGAGGAACAUGGCAUUUAUUUCAGGUUGUUUUUUAAAGUGUUGGCUGUUCAGUCACCCAUGCAGAUCUUGAUGAUUUGUAACAUCUGUUGUCUUCUCCGGAAAAAAAUGGAAUGGAGAAAAAAGUAUUGUGGCUCAAUCAAAGGCCACUUCAUUGGUCUGCUACUUGUGGAACUUUGAACUACCAUCUUCCAUGUGUUACAGUCAGCAGAAUGCUAAAAUAUCCAACUAUGACACACACAACUUUUCUCCUAACUGCUUGAGUCCACUUGCAGAAUGAAAGGGCAAAUUAGCAUCUCCAUGAGCCUUAUGAGACCUAAGAUACAUAGACAAUAAAAAAGAUCAUUGCGUGGUAACAAAAAUUAAGCAUUUGUCUAUUCAGAGAUCACUGUAUUCUACAGUGCAGCAAUUUCACUCGGGAUCAGGUGCCUCAGGCUAUGUGGUUGCUGGGUAAAAAGCAACUCCACACCUUAUGAAAGCAUGUAACCUUGUAUGACAAAUGGGAAAUUAUUACACAAUAAUUAUAUGCUCUUGCAAGACCUGGUUGCUGGUACCUAUCAUUCCAAAGUAUAUCUUCUAAGAUUGCUAUCAGGUGGCUCACACUAUAACAGUCCCUCCACUUGUGCCCUCCCUUUGAAACCUGCAGUGUGAGGAUUUUCACUAGCCUUUCUCCACAGACUCUCUUCAAAGGAUCUCAAAGCACCUGCAGAAGACUCUAGUGCCUGCCAGCUGGCUGAACUGGGUGUAAAGGACACAACUGAGGUUUCAAAGAUCUGUCUCCAUAUCUUCUCUUUCCUCUCUAACAUUGAAAAAAAUAUUUCUGUUUGAGCUUUCUCAUCUAGGUCUGUCCACCAGGACAGAGAAUUAUCUUUUAUUACACGACAUUUCUAGUACCUAGAACAACACUGUCCUAAACUCAAUCAUACACAAAAUUCUUAUUGUGCUAUGGAAAAGGAAUAGUAACAAACUCAUUGCUAUUUGCAGCUGCACGUAUUUGUGUCAGAGGGGCUCAUCAUCACUAUCCGAUUAAAUUGGGUUGCUGCUAAUCAGAGGCAAUGAAGUUGUUGAGGGAGUAGUGCUGACGUGGGGAAAGAAUGUGAUUAAAUAUCAUUAGCCAUUCUGUUAUGAUAUCAGAACAGGUUCUCUGCCUAAGCCAGGUUAACUCCCACUUUCCCAUUGAUGCACUGGAGGAUAUUUUCUGACAGAUUCAGCCAUAUGGCUUUCAUUCACUACAACUCUUCCUCCUUGUGUGAGCACUUUUCUUACCAGUCUGACAUAUCUAGUCAAGACUUGCAGAAGCAACUGGCACAUUUUCCACAUACACAGUCUAUUUCAAAAUACUUCAAAGUCUUUUGAAUUCUUAUUAAUUUCGUGAGGGGGGUUUUGAUGAUUUUUGUUUUUCAUUUAAUGAGCUGGGCUUAGUCUGAUCUUCCAAAGGUCGAGGAAGGAGUGACAUUUGUGGCAUUUGCCCUUUUUACAUCCUGGCACUUUAUUAGAUAGAUCCUCUAAGAAACAUGGAUUUCAGCUCAAAGGAUACAGCAAGGGUCAGGGCCCUGUAGUGCUAGACACCAUAUACACAGAGUAAUUACAGUU
rnacentral:lncRNA from 13 species